rnacentral:lncRNA from 1 species
CACCGAGUAUUAACUGCAGACCACUUGGUUGGAGAUUCUCAAUUAUCCAAAAAAAAUGCAUUAGUAAAUAUGGAAAAUAAGGAAUUUAACAUGCCACAACAAAAUUAUAGUGCAUUGAUAAAGUAAUUGCUUUAGUGUAUAUAUUUGUGCUUAUAAGUUACAUGCAUAGGUAUACAAUAAUGUAUUAUAGCUCAAAUAAUUAGAAUUAAAUUAAAUGAAUUACUAGUGGAUAUUUUGGUAUAUAAUUUACAAUGUAGCCCUAAAGCUGGAAUCUGAGACUGUGAGCGAAGAGAAUAGUACAAGAUUGCAUUUAAUGCUAAAUGCUGCUGCUAAUAAAAUAAAUCCCUGGGAUUUUUCAACAUUUUGGCAGAAACCAGAAUAUAAUUACUUAGAAGUUAGAACACUAGGAUUGAAUACUGUUCAACUAUUUUUUCUCUCUCUCGGUGGAACUCGUACCUUGCGAAAUUAUACUGAAUUUGUUAUUUACCAGCGGUGGCAGUAUUUGGACCCCGCCAUGGGCGGGCCUAAUUAAUUCGGAUUUAUGCUGAGAAAUCCUAUUUCAUGGGUAAAACUACAUGGAAAUGACACCAAAUAGGCACUUUUAAGCAUGCUAUUUAAAAUAUAUUCACAAUUUACCAUGUAUUUAAAGAUUAGCCAAUUUCACUCAAACUUCAGCGUCUAGAGCUUACAUCUCAAAAUGAUCAAACUUCAGGACAUCGUGUCCUUCAGAAGUUCAAAUCUCAUGUCCUAAAUUUUAAUUUAGUAGUUCAAAAAUCUAGGACACUUAGCAGCUCAAAAAUUCAGAAUACAAAGUCCUGAAUUUCCAAUUCAAAAUACUUAAUCCUUAAAUUUGGAUGAAUUAAUUAUUUUUAAAUACAUUAUAAAUUAUAAAUAUAUUUAAAUAACGGACUAACUACCUUUCAAAGAUGAUUUUUAGAAAUAACAAAAUUAUUGCUCCACCAUAACAUUUGGUGAUAAAUAGUAUUCCAGUUAUUAAAAUCAAAUUGGAGGAUCCAGACCAAGAUAGAGAUGUAUCAUAGCUGGUUGGCAGAAUGGUAUCACCAUAACGGUCCAAGUGGUUGGCUCAUGGCCCAAUAUCUGACUAAUUGAUUUAUUCCCAAUCUUUUGUAAUAAAUAAAAACAGUAGCAGCUUUGCUUGGUCCUUUACUCUUACAGGUAUUUACUUAUUCAUUUUUUCUGUUUCUCAAAAUUUUCAAAAAUGAAUCUAAGAAAAAAAGAAAAAACACCCUAAAUUACCUCGACCGUCUCAUAGGAGUAUUUAUUAGAGGUUGUUCGGUACAAUAGAUAAAUAAAAAUGAUAUUGGGAUACGAGAUAAGUUAUAUCGGAAUUAUUUAUACCUGUAAGAAGAUUGAGAUAAUUUCAUAAGCGGGUUAGGAAUUUAAACCUUAUGGGUUCAGUCUUUAAGAAUUGUAGUACUAAACUAAUUAUAUUUUUAUAGUUAUGGGCUCAAAUCUACUAUUUGUUGCAAUGUUAAUGGAUUUUACACAUAAAUUUAUGCUACGUAUAAAAAAUUAUGGGUUCAAUUGAACCCGUCACCUAUACGCUAUAUACUUCCUUGAGUAAUCCCAAGAUAUAACAAAUUGACAAUCCUAAGAUUAAAUAUGCCAAAUAAUUAACUAAGAAUAAUACCAUAAUAAUUAAUUUCAGCAUAAAUAAUCCCAACAUAAAUUGUCCUCAAACCAAACAACCCCUAUAUGAAAAAAAAAAACAAAAAAACAACCCCUUACUUUUUACCAACAAAACUCAUGCUAGAAUUGAAGAGGGGAUCACUUAAUAUUUAUGCUUCUACUAAAAUUUAGAUAACUAAUAAUUUUUGCACAUUUUGCUUUUUCCUCUAUUUAUUGGCUUGCAAACCUCCAAAGCUUGCUUUGUUUUUCUUAUUGUUUGGAAUUUUUUUUCUUACUAUUCUCUUUUUUGGGAUCGGUGAAAUAUAUAAUAUUUUCCAACUAAAAACAAAAGAAAAAAAAAAGAAGAUGGGGGUUUUAGUAUUCCAACCAAACAAACAGUCCAAAAUGUCUGUAUAAAAGAGGACAACAGUGUCUUGUGGAGUGUGGGCAGCACUUGAAUCAAUG